AUGGCGCCGCCUCCUAUUUGCGUCGUCGUUGUUGCUGUUCCUCUCACUCUUCGCGCUCCUCGAGGGCACCGGCGACAGCGACACGAUCUCCAUGGCCUACGAACAGAUCGUCACACGGUGGGACGGGCUGCCGGCGCCCCGAUGCUUUGCGACUCGUCGUUCCUCUCCCGCCGGCUGCCGCUCCAGUUUUUAGCUGCGGCGGGGUGGGUCGUCCUCGUCGUGCAGAAGAUAUGGGACCCCGACACGCCAUCCACGCCGUGGGAGCCGCUCCCUCCGCUGCGGGACUGGGCGAUAAACUGGCACGCCGGAGACGCCGCCUGCUCGGGCUGGGAGAUCUGUAUGGUCAACCUACACGGCAGCGGCGCCAAGGAGGCUGUGGCAUUCGACCCCGUGGCCUGCAGGUGGGAGGACAUGCUCGCUAGGUGGAAGGGCCCUGCCGCAGCAUUCCAGGGCGACAGUGACAUGAUCUUCGCUGUGGACGAGGAGCAUGGCGCGCCCAACACUUACGGGGGAUCUGGACGAAAAGCCAAACCGUAG
rnacentral:rRNA from 1 species